CAAAAGGGACACUAGAUAGUUGAUGUAUACUAGGCAACAUAGAAAUUCAUUGUCCAUAACAAGGCAACAGGCAAUUGCCCCCAGGGAAGGGGUAAUUCACUGGUCAGAUUGGAUGUGAAUAAAUCCAGGAAGAUAUAAUUAAUCCAGGGGUCCCCUGGUAGAUCUGAAGAUGUGAUGUUUGCUGCAGUGGGGGUCAUGGGGAAGAGAAAGUUCAGUCUGAUCCAGAGAUACCCAGAGAAUCAAUGAUCAUCAAGACCCUCAAAUACUCUGAAGAGACCUGACAUAAAGAGAGGGGAUUGAGAAAAAUCAAGAAGAGGGGAACUGAAACCACCCUUACUACCCUUUCCUCACUUCCCCAGGGUCAUCUGACCUCCGUGAAGCAGGUUCUGCUGCUCCAAGAAUUGUCUUAUGGCAUUAUUUGGUGGUAUGUGGAUGGAUCGUGGGGAGCUCCAAAAGUUACCGCCUUUCCUCUGCCAUCUUGGCUCUGCCCAGGGCUAAGUCCCAAUUCUAAUUUUUAAGAAAUUCUUUUCUUCAGUGAAUCUUUGUACUUCUUUUGUCCAUUUUUCCAAUUCUGCUUUUUAAGGAGUUAUUUUCAUCAUUGAAUUUAUGUAUCUCCUUGGAA